UUUCCGUAGGUGAACCUGCGGAAGGAUCAUUAUUGGAUUUUGAAGCUUCAGGCUGCUGCUGGCUCUCCUCGGAGGGCAUGUGCACGCUUGUUGUCCAUUAUUUCUCCCACUGUGCACAAAUUGUAGACCUUUCAGUAGGCCUAUGUUGUUUUUCACAAUCUCUGAAUGUAAUAGAAUAGUUUUGAAUCUUGGGAAAUACAAUACAACUUUCAGCAACGGAUCUCCUGGCUCUCGCGUCGAUGAAGAACGCAGC
rnacentral:misc_RNA from 1 species